GGAUGGGACUAAGACAUGUUAGUUGUGCGUCUCUCAACUAUGAAGGAGACGCGGCAUACGGCUCAGUAACAUGUGGCUAACCUACCCUUAGGACAGAGACACCCCGGGAAACUGGGGCUAAUCCUUGAUAGGCGUGAACUCUUGGAAUAGGUUCACACCCAAAAGACGUUUAAAUCAUGCUUUGGACGUCGCCUAAGGAUGGGGCCGCAGCCGAUCAGGUUGUUGGCGAGGUAACGGCUCACCAAGCCUUUGACCGGUACGGGCCGCGGGAGCGGUAGCCCGGAGAUGGACACUGAUACAAGGGUCCAGGCCCUACGGGGCGCAGCAGUCGCGAAAACUCCGCAAUACACGAAAGUGUGACGGGGCUAUCCCGAGUGCCGUCCGCUGAGGAUGGCUUUUCUCCAGUGUAACAAGCUGGAGGAAUAAGGAGAGGGCAAGUCUGGUGUCAGCCGACGCGGUAAUACCAGCUCUCCGAGUGGUAGGGAUGUUUAUUGGGCUUAAAGCGUCCGUAGCCGGCUUAACAAGUCCUCCGUUAAAUCCAGCGAUUCAAUCGUUGGACUGCGGGGGAUACUGUUAGGC
rnacentral:rRNA from 1 species